AACGAACGCUGGCGGCGUGGAUAAGACAUGCAAGUCGAACGAGAUUAGUUUUGUAGCAAUACUAAACUAGUUUAGUGGCGCAAGGGUGCGUAACACGUGGGCAACCUGCCCGAAAGUGGGGGAUAGCUCGCUGAAAGGCGAAUUAAUACCGCAUGUGGCUAGGGGGGUAUCCUCUCAAAGCCAUAGUCGGGGCAACCUGACGCUUUCGGCUGGGCUCGCGGCCUAUCAGCUAGUUGGUGAGGUAACGGCUCACCAAGGCUAUGACGGGUAGCUGGUCUGAGAGGACGACCAGUCACACUGGAACUGAGACACGGUCCAGACACCUACGGGUGGCAGCAGUCGAGAAUUUUUCUCAAUGGGCGAAAGCCUGAAGGAGCGACGCCGCGUGGAGGAUGAAGGUCUUCGGAUUGUAAACUCCUGUCAUGAGGGAACAAGGCUGCGGGUUUAACUAACCUUGCAGUUGAUAGUACUUCAAGAGGAAGAGACGGCUAACUCUGUGCCAGCCGCCGCAGAAA
rnacentral:rRNA from 1 species